GAUGAACGCUAGCGAUAGGCCUAACACAUGCAAGUCGAGGGGCAGCAUAAGGAAGUAGCAAUACUUUCUGGUGGCGACCGGCGCACGGGUGAGUAACACGUAUGCAACCUGCCUUCAACAAGGGCAUAACCCGUUGAAAGACGGACUAAUACCCUAUAAUACAGGGGCCCCGCAUGGGGAUAUUUGUUAAAGAUUUAUCGGUUGAAGAUGGGCAUGCGUUCCAUUAGCUGGUUGGUGGGGUAACGGCCCACCAAGGCAACGAUGGAUAGGGGAACUGAGAGGUUUAUCCCCCACACUGGUACUGAGACACGGACCAGACUCCUACGGGAGGCAGCAGUGAGGAAUAUUGGUCAAUGGACGCAAGUCUGAACCAGCCACGUCGCGUGAAGGAAGACGGCCCUACGGUUGUAAAGCUCUUUCGGACGGAAAGAAAUCGCCGCCUCUAACAUAGGCGGUGGAUGACGGUACCGUAAGAAGAAGCACCGGCUAACUACGUGCCAGCAGCC
rnacentral:rRNA from 1 species